CAAGUCGAACGUGAAAAGGGGCAACCCUGAGUAAAGUGGCGCACGGGUGAGUAACACGUAGGUAAUCUACCCUAGAAUCCGGAAUAACCUGCCGAAAGGCGGGCUAAUACCAGAUAGAGCGAGGAAUCCGUAAUUGGGUUUUUCGGGAAAGGGAGCUCGCAAGAGCCUUCGUUCUAGGAUGAGCCUGCGUCCCAUUAGCUAGUUGGCGGGGUAAUGGCCCACCAAGGCUUUGAUGGGUAGCUGGUCUGAGAGGAUGAUCAGCCACACUGGAACUGAAACACGGUCCAGACUCCUACGGGAGGCAGCAGUGGGGAAUCUUGCGCAAUGGACGAAAGUCUGACGCAGCCACGCCGCGUGAGUGAAGAAGGCCUUCGGGUUGUAAAGCUCUGUCGGGCGGGACGAAAAAUUUUUGGGUUAACAGCCCAAGAACUUGACGGUACCGCCAAAGGAAGCACCGGCUAACUCUGUGCCAGCAGCCGCGGUAAUACAGAGGGUGCAAGCGUUGCUCGGAAUCAUUGGGCGUAAAGGGCAAGUAGGUGGUCUCGUUUGUCUGAGGUGAAAUCCCUGGGCUUAACCUAGGAACUGCCUCAGAAACGGCGAGACUGGAGUACUGGAGAGGGUCGCGGAAUUCCCGGUGUAGCGGUGAAAUGCGUAGAGAUCGGGAGGAAUACCAGAGGCGAAAGCGGCGGCCUGGACAGUUACUGACACUCAACUGCGAAAGCGUGGGGAGCAAACAGGAUUAGAUACCCUGGUAGUCCACGCUGUAAACGAUGGGUACUAGGUCAGGUGGGUAUUGACCCCUGCCGGACCGGAGCUAACGCGAUAA
rnacentral:rRNA from 1 species